rnacentral:rRNA from 1 species
UACAGGGGGGGCAAGCGUUGUUCGGAAUUACUGGGCGUAAAGGGCCAGUAGGCGGCCAACUAAGUCACACGUGAAAUCCCCAGGCUUAACCUGGGAACUGCGUGUGAUACUGGAUGGCUUGAAUUCGGGAGAGGGAUGCAGAAUUCCAGGUGUAGCGGUGAAAUGCGUAGAUAUCUGGAGGAACACCGGUGGCGAAGGCGGUUCUCUGGGCAUUACCUGACGCUGAGGAGCGAAAGUGUGGGGAGCGAACAGG